GAAACUCGGGCUAAUACCGCAUACGCCCUACGGGGGAAAGGUGGCCUCUCCUUGGAAGCUACCACUAUUGGAUGAGCCUGCGUUGGAUUAGCUUGUUGGUGAGGUAAAAGCUCACCAAGGCUGCGAUCCAUAGCUGGUCUGAGAGGACGACCAGCCACACUGGGACUGAGACACGGCCCAGACUCCUACGGGAGGCAGCAGUGGGGAAUAUUGCACAAUGGGGGCAACCCUGAUGCAGCAAUGCCGCGUGUGUGAAGAAGGCCUGCGGGUUGUAAAGCACUUUCAAUUGGGAAGAAAAGGGAUUGGCUAAUACCCGAUUUUCUUGACGUUACCUUUAGAAGAAGCACCGGCUAACUCCGUGCCAGCAGCCGCGGUAAUACGGAGGGUGCGAGCGUUAAUCGGAAUUACUGGGCGUAAAGCGCGCGUAGGUGGUUCAGUCAGUCAGAUGUGAAAGCCCUGGGCUCAACCUGGGAACUGCAUUUGAUACUGCUGAAACUGGAGUAUGGUAGAGGG
rnacentral:rRNA from 1 species